rnacentral:rRNA from 1 species
UUCGUGCCAGCAGCCGCGGUAAUACGAAGGUCCCAAGCGUUGUUCGGAAUCACUGGGCGUAAAGGGAGCGUAGGCGGCGUGGUAAGUCAGAUGUGAAAUCCCGAGGCUCAACCUCGGAACUGCAUCCGAUACUGCCAUGCUAGAGGAUUGGAGAGGUAGCUGGAAUUCUUGGUGUAGCAGUGAAAUGCGUAGAGAUCAAGAGGAACACUCGUGGCGAAAGCGAGCUACUGGACAAUUCCUGACGCUGAGGCUCGAAGGCUAGGGUAGCGAAAGGGAUUAGAUACCCCUGUAGUCCUAGCAGUAAACGGUGCACGCUUGGUGUGAGGGGAAUCGACCCCCCUUGUGCCGGGGCUAACGCGUUAAGCGUGCCGCCUGGGAAGUACGGUCGCAAGACUAAAACUCAAAGAAAUUGACGGGGACCCGCACAAGCGGUGGAGUAUGUGGCUUAAUUCGAUGCAACGCGAAGAACCUUACCAAGGCUUGACAUGCAUCUCUAAACACGUGAAAGCGUGUGACCCUUCGGGGAAUUUGCACAGGUGCUGCAUGGCCGUCGUCAGCUCGUGUCGUGAGAUGUUGGGUUAAGUCCCGCAACGAGCGCAACCCUUGUGAUUAGUUGCCAGCACGUCAUGGUGGGAACUCUAGUCAGACUGCCCAGAUCAACUGGGAGGAAGGUGGGGACGACGUCAGGUCAGUAUGGCCCUUACGCCUUGGGCUGCACACGUACUACAAUGCCCAGCACAAUGANAACCGAUACCGCGAGGUGNAGGAAAUCUGUAAAACUGGGCUCANUUCGGGAUUG